rnacentral:rRNA from 1 species
UUCCCGAUACUCUUGGAUAGCCUUCCGAAAGGGAGAUUAAUACAAGAUGGUGUUUCACUUUCGCAUGUUAUUGAACUAAGAUUUAUCGGUAUCGGAUGGGGAUGCGUGACAUUAGAUAGUAGGCGGGGUAACGCCCACCUAGUCUACGAUGUCUAGGGGUUCUGAGAGGAAGGUCCCCCACACUGGAACUGAGACACGGUCCAGACUCCUACGGGAGGCAGCAGUGAGGAAUAUUGGUCAAUGGUCGGAAGACUGAACCAGCCAAGUAGCGUGAAGGAUGAAGGUUCUAUGGAUUGUAAACUUCUUUUAUACGGGAAUAAAACACCUUACGUGUAGGGUCUUGUAUGUACCGUAUGAAUAAGCAUCGGCUAACUCCGUG